GGACUACCGGGGUUUCUAAUCCUGUUUGAUCCCCACACUUUCGUGCCUCAGCGUCAGUUACAGCCUAGUUAGCUGCCUUCGCAAUCGGUGUUCUUGAUGGUAUCUAUGCAUUUCACCGCUACACCAUCAAUUCCGCCAACCUCGUCUGUACUCAAGUCAACCAGUAUCAAUGGCAGUUCUGAAGUUGAGCUCCAGGAUUUCACCACUGACUUAAUUAACCGCCUACGCACCCUUUAAACCCAAUAAAUCCGGACAACGCUUGCACCCUCCGUAUUACCGCGGCUGCUGGCAC
rnacentral:rRNA from 1 species